GCUGGCGUAGCUCAGUUGGUAGAGCAGCGCACUUGUAAUGCGCAGGUCACAGGUUCGACUCCUGCCGCCAGCUCCA
rnacentral:tRNA from 2 species